GAGGGUAUAGUUCAGUGGUAGAGCGCAUGCUUAGCGUGCACGAGGUCCUGGGUUCAAUCCCCAGUACCUCCA
rnacentral:tRNA from 1 species